rnacentral:rRNA from 1 species
UACGUAGGGUGCGAGCGUUGUCCGGAAUUAUUGGGCGUAAAGAGCUCGUAGGCGGUUUGUCGCGUCGACUGUGAAAACUGGGGGCUUAACUCUCAGCUUGCAGUUGAUACGGGCAGACUUGAGUUCGGUAGGGGAGACUGGAAUUCCUGGUGUAGCGGUGAAAUGCGCAGAUAUCAGGAGGAACACCGGUGGCGAAGGCGCUCUGCUAGGCCGCAACUGACACUGAGGGACGAAAGCUAGGGGAGCGAAUGGG